CGUACUUUGAAAAAACGCUAAGUGAAAGAAUCACGCUCACUGUUGGACUACAUGACUUAGAGAGACGUAGUGGCUUGGACCGCAUUGAUCAAAAGGUGCGGAUAAAAAGCUAUUUCCACAAGAUGGAAGAUAGAAAUUUGAUCACACGGAUCACUUUGAUAUCGGAACCUGAGCGAUCAGACAGCAGCAAAGCUCUGCUUCUGUUUCAGAGAGAAGAGGAAUCUUGUAUCUUAGACUUCAAUGAUGAUUGGUAUCACAAGGUAAGGAGUAGAUGCUGUUGG